CUCUUUAGCUUGGCAUUUGAAUCGGCUUUGCUGUUGCGAAGUAGAGUGGCGGCUUCGGCUGCCGAGGGUCGAUCCAUUUGGGAAAUGUUGUGUACUUCGGUAUGCAUCUCAAUUGGACCUGAUAUCAGGCAAGAUUACCCGCUGAACUUAAGCAUAUUAAUAAGCGGAGGAAAAGAAACUAACAAGGAUUCCCCUAGUAACGGCGAGUGAAGCGGGAAGAGCUCAAGCUUAAAAUCUCCGUGCAAGUUUUGCGCGGCGAAUUGUAGUCUAUAGAGGCGUGAUCAGUGUGGGCGCUUGGGGCAAGUUCCUUGGAAGAGGACAGCAUGGAGGGUGAUACUCCCGUUCAUCCCUGAGUUGCUCGUGCGUACGAUCCGUUUUCUUUGAGUCGCGUUGUUUGGGAAUGCAGCGCAAAGUAGGUGGUAAAUUCCAUCUAAAGCUAAAUAUUGGUGCGAGACCGAUAGCGAACAAGUACCGUGAGGGAAAGAUGAAAAGAACUUUGAAAAGAGAGUUAAAGAGUACCUGAAACUGCUGAAAGGGAACCGAAUCGUUUCCAGUGUCUAUAAUCCGUGGUAUAUUUCAUUGGCGAGUGUGUGCGUGCGUGUGCUGUGGCAGCGGCUUUUUUGGCUGCGCUCGGCGUGUGUGCUGUGUGUGCUUGCUGGUGCCCUGUGCUGCGGUGGGACGUCAAGGUCAGUUCGUAUGCUGCGGGAAAUGGCCGCCGAGGAGGUAGGGCUUACGCUUGCGUUUGUCUGUUAUAUCUUGGUGGACGAGUAGUCGCGGUUGGGACUGAGGUGCCUACAACGUGUUUUUGAGUGGGCCUGUGUCUCUGUGUGCGCCGUGUGCGGAUAGCUUGCUAUGCGUGUGUGGUUGUGUGUGGAUUGAUGUGGGUUUUAACUUGUUGCCGUUCGGGACGUUGACGAAAUGGAGCGAUUUGACCCGUCUUGAAACACGGACCAAGGAGUCUAACAUGUGUGCAAGUGUUAGGGUGUGGAAACCCCAGCGCGAAAUGAAAGUGAAGGGCAGCGUAAGUUGUCUGAGGUAGGAAAUGCUGCGGGCUUCGGUCUGCGGUGUGGCACUAUCGACCGAUCAUGAACCUUCGUGGUGAAAGAUUUGAGUUUGAGCACAUAUGUUGGUACCCGAAAGAUGGUGAACUAUGCCUGAGUAGGGUGAAGCCAGGGAAACUCUGGUGG